UGAACCUUCGGGGAACGAUAACGGCGUCGAGCGGCGGACGGGUGAGUAAUGCCUAGGAAAUUGCCCUGAUGUGGGGGAUAACCAUUGGAAACGAUGGCUAAUACCGCAUAAUACCUACGGGUCAAAGAGGGGGACCUUCGGGCCUCUCGCGUCAGGAUAUGCCUAGGUGGGAUUAGCUAGUUGGUGAGGUAAUGGCUCACCAAGGCGACGAUCCCUAGCUGGUCUGAGAGGAUGAUCAGCCACACUGGAACUGAGACACGGUCCAGACUCCUACGGGAGGCAGCAGUGGGGAAUAUUGCACAAUGGGCGCAAGCCUGAUGCAGCCAUGCCGCGUGUGUGAAGAAGGCCUUCGGGUUGUAAAGCACUUUCAGUCGUGAGGAAGGUAGUGUAGUUAAUAGCUGCAUUAUUUGACGUUAGCGACAGAAGAAGCACCGGCUAACUCCGUGCCAGCAGCCGCGGUAAUACGGAGGGUGCGAGCGUUAAUCGGAAUUACUGGGCGUAAAGCGCAUGCAGGUGGUUUGUUAAGUCAGAUGUGAAAGCCCGGGGCUCAACCUCGGAAUAGCAUUUGAAACUGGCAGACUAGAGUACUGUAGAGGGGGGUA
rnacentral:rRNA from 1 species